ACAAAAGCUGAUGAAAUUGGAAUGUGCAUUGAGUGAAUGUUCCCAAAGAAUGACUGAUUUCGAAACUUUCAAAGACAACAUUAAUAAACAAUUCGACAACUUCGCAGAACAAUGGAAAUCCUUUCGUGCAAUUCCAGAGGAUAUUCAUGAAAUACGCAACAGCAUUGGGCAGAUUGGUAAUGAUCUCGACAAGAUGAACGAACGACAGAAAGACGAACGAGAACCAACGAGUUGCUUGCCGGAUAAGUUGCCAAUGUUCACUGCUCGCAAAGCCGAGAUCCAAAAAGUCGUCACUUUCCUGAAGGAUGAAGGAAAGACCAUUGUGUCUCUCCUUGGCGGACCUGGGUUUGGUAAGACUGCAAUCGCAAUCGAGGUGUCGCAUCAGUUCAGUGAAGAUGAUAACAUUCUAGUUGUUUUCUCUCAAUUAACCACGGCAACCACUGUAGAUGAAAUGAUGAGACGACUCUGCCUUGAUGUUGGUGUCAACCAUGAAGACGACCCAAAGCCAUCAUUGAUCUUUUGUUUGAAAAAUAUUAAGAAGAAAGUCAUUUUGGUUAUGGACGACAUCGACAACCUGCUUGAAGAAAAAACUCGUUCUUGUUUGGACGAUUUCAUCCGCAUGCUCCGAAAGAAUUCUAAUUGUCAGAUAGUCACGACCUCUAGAUCGUCCUAUUUAAUUCCCGACCUCUCAAUUGGUAAUGUUGACGUUGAGGAGAUGGAUAUAAAAGCAUGUAUGGAGCUUUUGAAAAAACAAUGUCCAGAUCAGGACGAUGAAUUUUUGCGACGUUUGGCCGAACUAUGUGGUAAUAUACCUCUUGCUAUGUGCAUCGCAGGUUCCCAAGUGGACAACUUUGAAGAUCCUGAUAAACUACUACAGAACCUAGAAAAGCAACCACUUAAGACUUUGGAAUGUUCCAAAAGUAACCAGUUCGUCCAUCGAGCCAUUGAUUCGUCUUUUAAAAUAUUAACUGACGAACAGAAAAAAGCUUUUGUCCGUUUGGCAGUUUUCGAGGAAAGCUUCAGCGAAGAGGCCGCUACAGUCGUAAUUGAGAAGGACGAUUUAGAUACUAAAAAACGUGUCUUAGAUAAUCUUGUUUCGCGAAGCUUGAUCAAACAACCAACGAAGCAGCGAUAUUCCAUUCAUCUUUUGAUCAAAUAUUUUUUAAGGAAUGAGCUCAACGGCAAGAACAAAAGAGCAAAAAGAGCGCGUGCAGAAGUGUCACGUGCAAAAGUGUUGAUGGUUGAAUACUAUCUGAACUUGGGGCACGAGCUAACCAUAAACAGUUACUCCAAAGACGGAUACAAAGCAAACAGAGAAGCUUUAAAGCAGGAAGCGCGCAAUAUUCAGAACGUCCUCAAAAUUUGUUGUGAGCAGGAAGACCCCAAAUCCUCCGACAUCUCUGAAUGCCUUACACACAGUGAAGUUUACACCACCUCAGCCAGAUUCUUUUCACUCUUUGUUAGAACCAUCAUCCCUGGGUCCAUCGUCGACGAGUUCCUACAACGAUGCGCAAAUCUGGCCGAAGAGAAGAAGCAACAUGCAACCAAAAUAAAUUUUGACUGUUUGGUAGCAGACCAAGAACGCAUGAAAUCAAUUGGUAAAUCUGACGAGUAUUUUAAUUCAAAAAUGGAAGAAAUCAAGAGAGAGUUCGAUACGCAUUAUGAAGAUUUAAAGGAAAAAAAGUCGCUUUGUGCUCAUUACUAUUACCAGUACGGGAGAUAUCUGUCACGUAAGUCUGAAGGUG
rnacentral:lncRNA from 1 species